AGAUUACAAGACAAGCACACAAGAUUAAUAGAUGAAAGAAAAGGAGGGAGACGAGGAGGAAGAAGAAGAAUAAGAGGAGGAGGAGGAGGAGGAGGAGGAGGAGAAGAGGUGCUCUGUGAAGACCAAACAGCAUUUCACAGCUCUUCCUGACUACCCAAAGCACAUCAAACUGGACAAGCACAGUUUUGAAGAAGAGGAGGAGGAAGAGGAAGAGGAAGGAGGAGGAGGAGGAGGAGGAGGGUUAGGUGUGGCCCUCCCUCCCCCUCCCACACCACUGCAGUCCCAGCCUCUGAUUGGCCAGCCCUCAGCCAAUCAGGAGAGAGACUUUAUGGCCUUGCAGGUGGAGGAAGGCCGAAGGGAACUGGAGGAGGAGAGAAAGAGGCACAGGCUGGAGGUUGAAAACAAAAGGUCUAGAUUUAGAAUGAUGACAACGACCACAGCCACCACCAGCACCUCCCCCACUAGUCUGCCUUUCUCUUCAAGUCCCAGCGAGGAGCACCCGCCCUCCUCCCCAGCCUCCUCUCUCAACAGAUGGGAGGGCCUGGACAGACUGAGAGAGGAACUGAUGAAAGAGAGAGAGAUAGAGAUUGAAGAGAGAAUUGCAAGUGUAAGAGAGGAAGAAAGGAGGAAAUUAGAUGACGAAAAACAGAAGCAGUUGGCCAAAAUAAUAAUGUCAGAAGUAAGACAAAGCUUUGAAGAAAGAACAUCUGUCAUAAAGUGUUACUGGAGGCACGAAAAUGUCAAAGAAGUGCAAAGACAAUUCAGAAGACACUUUGACAGGGAUCCACCAAGGUGACGCACCAUUGCUCGCAUCACAGCUAAAUUUGCAUCAACCAGCAGCAGCAGCAGCAGCAGCAUGUCAGUAGUAGCAGGAGUAGUGAAUGGUCACUCGUAUGUGGUGACUACUUGGACUAUUAGGCCGCCCUUGUAGUGUGCUGGACUAUUGGUCAACAAGGAGCCCUGAAAGUUACGUGGUACAACUAUUUCGGCGAUAGUAAUGGCUGUAAGUAGUAGUAGUAGUUGUAGUAAUAGUAGUAGUAAUAGUAGUUAUGCGUGUAAUGUCAAUAUGGUCCAUUUUGUAACUGUAAUUGGAAAAAUUCUCGACUUUGUGUUUCUUAAAGGCGUGACGUAAUUAGAGAAAACGUAUGUAUUUUAAGGGACACUAGCCUGUACUUCAUUAUUCCUGUUUAUUGCUAUUAUAGGAGUUUCUUGAUAGUUUUACUUGUAUAUACUAUUUAAAUCUACUAUUCUAUUUAUUAUGUGUAAGUGGGAGAUGUCAGAGAAAGAGCCAUAUUUAUAAUUUGCAUUUGUAAGGUCAAUAAGGUCUAUUUUAUUAAGUAAAUUUAUAAGAUGCUCGACCUUAUGUUUCUUAAAUGAGUGACGUAAUUAGAGAAAACGUGUGUCUUUUAAGGAACACUAACCUAUACUUCAUUAAUGUGGUUAUUGUUGUUAUACGAGUUUUCCGGUGUAUAUACUAUUUAAAUCUACUAUUUUGUGUUGUAUAAUACUAUGUUUGAAUGGUAGAACUAAGAGAAAGAGUCAUAUUUGUAAUGUUUACAUGUAAGGUCAAUAUGGUCUAGUCUGUAACUGUAAUUUGAAGGAUUUUCAACCUUUUGUUUCUUAGUAAAUGACGUAACUAGAAAAAACGAAUCUUCUUUAAGGGGAAACUAAACAACAAUGAAUUAUUCCUCUUUAUUCUUAAUACUGCAGAUAUUUGGGUAGUUUUAGGCGAAUAUUCUCUUUAGACGUAGUGUUUUGUAAUGUGCGGCAGUACUAGAUGCCACACUGAAGUGGUAGAAGUGAGAGAAGAAGCCUUAUUUAUGAAAUGUGACAGAAAACCUAACAAUGAAUGGAGGGUGAACAAGGAGGAGCGACAGAGGGAAGAAAGGGGCAAACAACAGGAACAAAAGGAACAACACGAAUAGGAGAGAGAGAACAGGAGGAGGAGGAGGAGGAAGAGAAACUGAAAGAUACGGAAGAGGAGGAGCAGGAGGAAGAGGAGGAGGAAGAAGAGGAAAACAAAGAAAAACUUCGAUAACAAAACUCUCUUUCUCUCUCUCUCUCUCUCUCUCUCUCUCUCUCUCUCUCUCUCUCUCUCUCUCUCUCUCUCUCUCUCUCUCUCUCUCUC